AGAAGCGCAGGAGGGUGAGAGAAUUCACCAGAGCCAGAGCGGGGAGCAGAGCAGGCAGAAGGACUGAAGUACACUGCUGAGGGGAGCAGCGGGUGGCAGGAGAGAUCUGCUCGCCAUGUGGGACCCUCCUCAGGUGGCUGGGGAGCAGCCGGGGAUCGAACCGGUGCUGCAGAGGCUGCGGGCAGCUUAGCAACCCAGCGCUCAACCGCUGCGCCACCCGGGAGGCCCUAAAAGCGGUUGACUAUACUCCGCCAGCUGGCUAAUAUCAUAAUUAACGAAGUUGCUACUACAUCUGCAAAGUUUAAUCGAAAAAUUUGCCAGUGAUGUGAUAGCAUUGUCACCAAGAUCAUAAGGGACACGGAUUCGACUUUUACUCAAGGUGGAACGGCAGUGCUGUGUAGGCAAGAUGAGAAAUCCUGAACUAGUUCAACCAAAGAUUUUAUCCACCUACUGUACAGAAGAUGAAGAUAAAUAAACCACCUUGCAAGUUUAAUCACAUCAACUGGCUAAUUUAAUGAAAUCAAAUAGCAGAAAGGUUAUGCUUCAUAUCACCCACCAGGGAGGAUCAUCUCUCAUGAAAACUUUCAAAUUUGAUUUUGAAAAUUAUUCAGAAAAAUUUAAGUCUUGCUAUCUCCCAAUGUAGAAAAGAAUAUGCUCUGGAGAUUCCUGUAAUUCAAAGAAAAUGGACUGAGAUAACAACAUUUGGGUUGUCAUGCUAUCAAAAUCCUCUUGAGAAGGAUGGCCAGGAGGCUAAUAAUGAAGGGCCGGGAAGGAGGCCAGUGCUACCAGGGUUAUCUCAAAGCCUCAGAUGCUGGAUAAGUCGAAGGAGGCAGAAUCGCUUUGGGAUGACAUUCAGAAAGGCUGGAGUGAUUAUUUGAAAGAGAAAAGCCUCCUUAUUCUUUUCCAAGGUGUGUGAAUAUGCCCCGGCCUGUCCCUCCACUGAUGAAUUAUUAGCAACCUGCCUUAGACAAAGGCUGCACUCGGAGCCCCACCACACCUAAAACCAGGCUUUGAAGGAUCUGCCAAGCUCACUUUUAAUCAUGGAAAGAAAUUACCCACAUGGAGUCAGCAGAAAAUGAGAAAGUGGAGCUCGUGCUGCGAAUAAUUCCAGCAAGUGCCAAGGGGCUAGUUGAGGAAUGACUUCAUGAGGUGAAUAUCUUUAGCUUGUACUUAGGGUUUGGUUAGCGUAUAAUCAUUUUCUCUUUUAGGGGCGAUGACUAUCACCAGUGGAUUUUGUAAGGAAAGAGUGCUCCGAGCAUUUGUCAGGCUGUUGACAGAUUUAAUAUCACUCUCGUCCUUGUUGUUAUUUACUAUGACUAAUUUUACAUUUGCAAAUAUGCAAAACUCCAUUUAGGCGGAAAGCCUCUCCGAGCCAGUGACUCUUAAGCGCUGUAUGUAUUUAUGUGCAUCGCUGCUGUGAGUGCAUGUCCGGUUAUUUCUGUCUCUGUGUACGUAUGUGCCCUCGUUCUUGUCUUCUCUCUGUCGUGCACGUAGGUUGGGAGGCUGGACCAACCAAUGGGUUCUCAGAUGUGGUCCAAGGCUUUCAUUUGAUUUUUGGACCAGGAAAAAAGGAACGUGUCACAUCAUGAUUAAUGGUCAAUCUGAAUUUCCAAUUCAUAUGAAAGGAGAAGCAGGAGGAGGCAAUAACCCGGUGAUGAGACUAACCUUUUCCCUUUGGGGAGAGCAUGAUUCAAAUUAAACAUCACUUUCAGUGUGAAAUUAGUUUGAAGGCCUUUUUUUUUUUUUCCUUGGUUCCUGGUUUAACUCCUUGAUGGCUGCCCUUUCAGAGAGGACCUCUGUGCCUGAGUCUAUUCCAGACAGCCCAAGAGCCAGCGUCCCUUUUUUUUUUUUUGCAUUUUUCUAAAGAUCAGGUCCUCAAAACCAAGAAAAGGGAAUAUUGUACCUCUUUCGAAGCUUCGUGAUUCACAAGAUCACAUUCUCCUUAGUUUGUGCACCUAACGAGUGUCUCAAAUAAAUAAUAUCUUCUUUAAGGAUAAUUUUGCCAGGGAGGGGGGAGAGGAGAGCGAGGUAUUCUUUCAAAGGACAUUCUGAGUGCUUGUGCUUUGUGUCACUUUCUGCUGAUUGAGGGAGCGCCAGAGGAAGAAAAGCAACAAAACAAAUCCCAAGUUUUCUUUUGAUUCUCUAGGUUUCUCUAUGUGACUCAUCUAUAGGUCACAGGAUCCCCAUGCCAACAUGCAGAAACAUUGCUGUCAGGCAAACUCAUGCCUGGACACUUUGAAACUGCCCUCAGCACUUACUGGCUAAAGGACUCAGGCCCAAAUUUGUAGAAAGAGCCCCUACUCGUGAAACACUAGCUGCUUGUCCAUGCGCAUAUCCUGGAUGCCAUAGUUAGAACACAUCACGAUUUCACCAUGAGGUUGAGCUGACUUUUGAAGUUUGAUGGCGCAUAUUGCAAGGCACAUAUUGAAAAACUGAAGGGACGUGUUUAUUCUUCCAGUGUGUUUUCAAAAGGAAAAUGCUAGAGCACUUUAAUUCCUUCCUGAAAGGAUGGAGAGGUGUGGUGGAGGAGG